AUAAAGGCUUUUAUCAAAGCCACAUACAAGUGAAGGUAUUUCUAG
rfam:Fukomys damarensis contig74546, whole genome shotgun sequence.